rnacentral:rRNA from 1 species
GACGGAGGUCCCGAGCGUUGUUCGGAAUUAUUGGGCUUAAAGCGCGUGUAGGCGGAGCGGCAAGUACUUUGUGAAAUCCCCGGACUCAAUCCGGGAACUGCUUGGUAUACUGCCGUUCUCGAGGCAGGUAGGGGUCACUGGACCUUAGGUGGAGCGGUGAAAUGCGUAGAUAUCGUAAGGAAGACCAGUGGCGAAGGCGGGUCUCUGGACAGUUCCUGACACUGAGGCACGAAGGCCAGGGGAGCAAACGGG